rnacentral:rRNA from 1 species
AUGCAUGUCUAAGUACAAACCUUUACAAGGUGAAACUGCGAAUGGCUCAUUAAAUCAGUUAUGGUUCCUUAGAUCGUACAAUCCUACUUGGAUAACUGUGGCAAUUCUAGAGCUAAUACAUGCUACAAAGCUCCGACCUUUGCGGGGAAGAGCGCUUUUAUUAGUACAAAACCAAUGCCGGCUCUCCGGAGCCGGGUGACCUUGGUGACUCUGAACAACUUUGUGCUGAUCGCACGGCCUCGCGCCGGCGACGUAUCUUUCAAAUGUCUGCCCUAUCAACUGUCGAUGGUACGUGAUAUGCCUACCAUGGUUUUCACGGGUAACGGGGAAUCAGGGUUCGAUUCCGGAGAGGGAGCAUGAGAAACGGCUACCACA